GAGAGAGAGUGUGUGUGUGUGUGUGUGUGCACAUACAGUUGUAAAUAAAUGAACUUACUGUGCGUGCUGUUGGAGAAAGUGAUCCAUUGGGAAGCAGUGUUGUCAGACAGCAGUGAGGAGGAAUCCUGUGCACAGUGUAGCACUAAAGUGUUGUGUGUCUGCCUACCGACGCACCUCGACCAGGCAGCAUCAUGAAAGCAAAGCAGACUCCUCCGCUCAGCGAUCGCCGAUGCUCUUUAUCUGGGAGAGCCGGUGGAAGAAGAGGCACCCCGUCGCUCAGGGCCCUCCAAACCUGAGCCCACACAGACCAGACCAAAGCCGAGGAGCUCCGGGCUGGCCUCUCCCCGGAUUGCCUCAGCAGGCACCUGAGAGUUUACUGGGGGGCUGGCAGCGUGUUAUCAUGCCUGCCGUGGGGACACCUGCCUCUGAUGCCGCCCCGGUGAUUCUAAUCUACAGGACCCUUUAAUAAGAUGAUGAUAGGCUGCGUUGCCACUGCUGCUCUGAACGAUGGAGCAUGGAGCACGCACAGCUUUUGUGUUGGCGUUAUUCAUUUUGUUAUGGGCUUCGCGUGCUCACCUCUGCUCCACGUGCAUGCUGUGGUUCUGGUACAACUGGGGAUUGUCUCAUCCAUGCACUUCCCCGUCUCGGAGUGUGGAGGAAGUCAGAGGCAUCUCCACCGUCUGAUCACAAGGCUUCAGCUCUCUUUUGUGUAGUCUUCACCUGCAGCCCUGAUGAUGAAUCCAUACACUGAUUCUGACCUCAGCGUGUUUGAAUUGUUCACCAUUGGAUUUGAAGUCAGCAAUAAUCAGGGGUGGAUUUAAUUAUCAUUCUG